ACGCUGGCGGCAUGCUUAACACAUGCAAGACGAACGCUAUCGCAAGAUAGAGUGGCGCACGGGUGAGUAACGCGUGGGAAUCUGCCCUUUUGUCUGGGACAACAGCUGGAAACGGCUGCUAAUACCGGAUACGCCCUUCGGGGGAAAGGUCCGCCGCAGAAGGAGGAGCCCGCGUCUGAUUAGCUUGUUGGUAGGGUAAUGGCCUACCAAGGCAACGAUCAGUAGCUGGUCUGAGAGGAUGAUCAGCCACACUGGGACUGAGACACGGCCCAGACUCCUACGGGAGGCAGCAGUGGGGAAUAUUGGACAAUGGGGGCAACCCUGAUCCAGCAAUGCCGCGUGUGUGAUGAAGGCCUUAGGGUUGUAAAGCACCUUCACUGGUGAAGAUGAUGACGGUAACCAGAGAAGAAGCCCCGGCUAACUUCGUGCCAGC
rnacentral:rRNA from 1 species